GUACCGUACCCAGGUGAAUAUAGAGAAGAAGGUGAUAGUGUUAUAAAGGAGUAAAGUGUACCGUACCCAGGUGAAUAUAGAGAAGAAGGUGAUAGUGUUAUAAAGGAGUAAAGUGUACCGUACCCAGGUGAAUAUAGAGAAGAAGGUGAUAGUGUUAUAAAGGAGUAAAGUGUACCGUACCCAGGUGAAUAUAGAGAAGAAGGUGAUAGUGUUAUAAAGGAGUAAAGUGUACCGUACCCAGGUGAAUAUAGAGAAGAAGGUGAUAGUGUUAUAAAGGAGUAAAGUGUACCGUACCCAGGUGAAUAUAGAGAAGAAGGUGAUAGUGUUAUAAAGGAGUAAAGUGUACCGUACCCAGGUGAAUAUAGAGAAGAAGGUGAUAGUGUUAUAAAGGAGUAAAGUGUACCGUACCCAGGUGAAUAUAGAGAAGAAGGUGAUAGUGUUAUAAAGGAGUAAAGUGUACCGUACCCAGGUGAAUAUAGAGAAGAAGGUGAUAGUGUUAUAAAGGAGUAAAGUGUACCGUACCCAGGUGAAUAUAGAGAAGAAGGUGAUAGUGUUAUAAAGGAGUAAAGUGUACCGUACCCAGGUGAAUAUGGAGAAGAAGGUGAUAGUGUUAUAAAGGAGUAAAGUGUACCGUAUCCAGGUGAAUAUAGAGAAGAAGGUGAUAGUGUUAUAAAGGAGUAAAGUGUA